UACUGUACACAUUUGGAGGUGUUCUUUAGCACCCGUUAGCCCAGUGUGAGUUUCACUGUCUGUACUUACUCUUUAGGUUGGAUGCUCCCUGGUUGUGGACCAUGCGAGGAGGCAGCGUGCUGUGGAGGUUCAAGAGAGGAACGUUGUGGGAGAAUAAGCUGUGAACGGCCUUUCCUUUACGUCAGCUACACAAUAGUCUGCCUGUCUGUGGAAGGGCGUCCCAGCAGACACAGCGGCUGGCAAGAAAAAUCUCUCUGCACCUGCUCACCCACACAAAGGCAUCGGGUGACUACCGGAAGUGACAUGCAAAUUAACCUUUACUGUAGACUGUUUAAUUACUUAGGAGAUUAAACAAGUCAGACUGUAUUAAAUUAGAAAUACAGCAAUGAUGUUUCCAACAUUGUCA